rnacentral:lncRNA from 1 species
UCUGCCUGGCUCAUUGAAGCAUUGCUAGCUGUGAUUCCGGGCUGCUCUGGCAACCUGCAUGUAAUAUUUCCGUGACUGCUACAUUACAUUGCAGUGAGCAAAAAGCCAGAAAGGUUUCCUUUGCAAGGGUACCACAGCUCUUCUAGGAGCAUUGGCAACAACAAAGUCUCAUCACGUCAACUGAAACACUGUUACUUGGGUGUGAAUCUGCAAAAUGAAUUCUUUCCAUUGUCUGGGAGAGCAUGCUGGACUAUACAUGG